UACAGAGGGUGCGAGCGUUAAUCGGAAUUACUGGGCGUAAAGCGCGCGUAGGCGGCUUUGCAAGUCGGGUGUGAAAUCCCCAGGCUUAACCCUGGGAACUGCAUUCGAGACUGCAUUGCUAGAGUAUGGGAGAGGGAAGUGGAAUUUCCGGUGUAGCGGUGAAAUGCGUAGAUAUCGGGAGGAACACCAGUGGCGAAGGCGGUUACCUGGAGCUUUGCUGACGCUGGAUGCGCGAAAGCGUGGGGA
rnacentral:rRNA from 1 species